GGCCUCAAAGCAUUAACAAAAGGAAAAUAUGUGCUCAUGAAGGUUCCUUAUGCACUUGAAAAUGUUUUCAAGCUGUGUCUUGUUUACAAUGAUGUUCUCAUAGUCAGAUAUAUUUGCCCACUGUUUCCAAUUGUAGCACUUUGAUUUUCAGACUGUGGUACUGUUUGAUGUGGUCGCAGUUUAAUAGGGAGAACGAGUGGACCCCGAGAACGAUUACACGCAUUCAAGACAUCGUUAGCCACAGAAUCACCCAAUCGCACGACACUUUCCAGACUGUGGUACUGUUUGAUGUGGUCGCAGUUUAAUAGGGAGAACGAGUGGACCCCGAGAACGAUUACACGCAUUCAAGACAUCGUUAGCCACAGAAUCACCCAAUCGCACGACACUUUCCAGACUGUGGUACUGUUUGAUGUGGUCGCAGUUUAAUAGGGAGAACGAGUGGACCCCGAGAACGAUUACACGCAUUCAAGACAUCGUUAGCCACAGAAUCACCCAAUCGCACGACACUUUCCAGACUGUGGUACUGUUUGAUGUGGUCGCAGUUUAAUAGGGAGAACGAGUGGACCCCGAGAACGAUUACACGCAUUCAAGACAUCGUUAGCCACAGAAUCACCCAAUCGCACGACACUUUCCAGACUGUGGUACUGUUUGAUGUGGUCGCAGUUUAAUAGGGAGAACGAGUGGACCCCGAGAACGAUUACACGCAUUCAAGACAUCGUUAGCCACAGAAUCACCCAAUCGCACGACACUUUCCAGACUGUGGUACUGUUUGAUGUGGUCGCAGUUUAAUAGGGAGAACGAGUGGACCCCGAGAACGAUUACACGCAUUCAAGACAUCGUUAGCCACAGAAUCACCCAAUCGCACGACACUUUCCAGACUGUGGUACUGUUUGAUGUGGUCGCAGUUUAAUAGGGAGAACGAGUGGACCCCGAGAACGAUUACACGCAUUCAAGACAUCGUUAGCCACAGAAUCACCCAAUCGCACGACACUUUCCAGACUGUGGUACUGUUUGAUGUGGUCGCAGUUUAAUAGGGAGAACGAGUGGACCCCGAGAACGAUUACACGCAUUCAAGACAUCGUUAGCCACAGAAUCACCCAAUCGCACGACACUUUCCAGGUCAGGGUCUGAAUUCAACGGAAUAGAAUCUUGAACUUGUUUCUCUACACAGGGCACAUGCCUGCAGAAACUUUAUAGUUUGGAAAUACUCCUUUUUUGAAAAGUACACCUUUGUUUUUCCUAGCGUGAUUGUUUUUAUAACUGUGCUGUGAUUUCUUAUGGAGUGAUCUAAUUUUGAAUGGUAUUUUAAUGAAUGAAUAUCAAUAUUUGGUGCAUGUAUUAUGUAAUCAUAUGGGAAUAUACAUCUGUAAGACUGAUUGAUAGUGUCAAUAAUCAUUUUAAACAUUUGACAUAUAACUUGUGUGCUUCUCUACUAAAUAGAGUCAAAUGUUGUGAAUAGGAACACUAUUUUUUUAUUAUUUCUGUUCUGGUUGUUUCCCUUGAAUUGUGUGAAUUUUUGGAAUUACUAUGAAAUACAAACAAAACACAGGAUACAGUUCAGAAAUGUUGCAUUUAAUUCAUUAAACAUUAUAUUUUAAUGUAACAAAAGCUUUUUGUUUUAUUAUGCAUAUAUUAAAAAACUUAAGGUGGCAGGGGAUAUAUCAGUGAAAGGGGGGUCCAUGAAAAUUACAUAUCUUUAGGGUAGGUGUUACCUAUGGUCUUUAAAAAUCAAUUAGGUAUUUAUAAGAUGUAUUUCUUGUGUUAGGUUGUAGAAAGAAUGUCUCAAAAUUUUGGAAAAAAACAUUACAACUAGCCACAGCUCCCUAGCAAGGAAAUUUUGAAUCUUCAAAAAGGAGGUUUUCACUUUUGUCGGAAGUCAAUAUUUCACGCUGCAGAAACAGAACAAAAUUUUGAAGGUAAAUUGUGAAAAAUCUAAACGUAUGGGAGACACUUUUCUAGGCAAAUAAACAAAGCACAGGGAUGAAAUUAGUGAGUAAUGUAGCCAAAACUAGGAUUGCAUUCUGUUUGAAUGUUCUGUGCAUGCCAUGAAAUGGGUCAAAUUUCUCAAUUUUUCAUUAAAAAUGAGGUGGGUGGGGGGAAAGAUCAAGGGCCAUAGUUUCACAAGUGAAGAAGCCAGCCUUGUCUUUGGUUGUAUUUUCAAUGUAUAUUGCCUAUGCUAUGACACUGACACAAAAAGGCUUUCUUGUGUCACUUUCUGUUUUGAUGCAAUGGAUUUGACUGUUUGCGGCCUUUCGGAACUCGAAAUUUGGUCAAAAAUAUAUCCCCUGCCCC